rnacentral:sRNA from 1 species
GCCGGGUGCAGUGGUGUGUGCCUGUAAUCCCAGCAGCUAGGGAGGCUGAGUCAGGAGGAUUGCAAGUUCAAAGCCAGACUCAGCAAUGGCGAGGUACUAAGCAACUCACUGAGACCCUGUCUCUA